rnacentral:rRNA from 1 species
UACGGAGGGUGCGAGCGUUGUCCGGAAUCAUUGGGCGUAAAGGGCGCGUAGGUGGCCCGGUCAGUUCGUGGUGAAAGCGCGGGGCUCAACCCUGCGUCGGCCAUGAAUACUGCCGCGGCUGGAGCACUGUAGAGGCAGGCGGAAUUCCGGGUGUAGCGGUGGAAUGCGUAGAGAUCCGGAGGAACACCAGGGGCGAAGGCGGUUGCCUGGAGCUUUGCUGACGCUGAUGCGCGAAAGCGUGGGGAGCGAGUCCGG